rnacentral:rRNA from 1 species
AACGUCGUGAGACAGUUUGGUCCCUAUCUGCCGUGGGUGUUCGAGAAUUGAGAGGAGCUGCUCCUAGUACGAGAGGACCGGAGUGGACAUGUCACUAGUGUACCGGUUGUGACGCCAGUUGCAGCGCCGGGUAGCCAUAACAUGGAAGAGAUAACCGCUGAAAGCAUCUAAGCGGGAAACUCGCCUCGAAACUAGUUCUCGCCAUUAGGGCCGUGGAAGAUCACCACGUUGAUAGGCCGGAUGUGGAAGCGCAGUAAUGCGUGCAGCUAACCGGUACUAAUAGCCCGAUCGGCUUAAUACA